GAAAACCUGGCUUUACAUUUAAAUGUAUUAGAGGCCAAUUCCUAUUUGCAACUAUAGGAAUAACCAACCUUAUGGUUUCAUGUCUAACUACAGGUGCAAAUACUUCAAACCGUAUAAACCAUACUUUUGUAGGAAUCCUCUAUAUACUAAUCUUGUCUUAUGCUUAGCAUCUAAACCAUAUGGCUUCAACUUUAUCUUU
rnacentral:lncRNA from 1 species